rnacentral:rRNA from 1 species
GACGAACGCUGGCGGCGUGCCUAAUACAUGCAAGUAGAACGCUGAAGGAGGAGCUUGCUCUUCUGGAUGAGUUGCGAACGGGUGAGUAACGCGUAGGUAACCUGCCUGGUAGCGGGGGAUAACUAUUGGAAACGAUAGCUAAUACCGCAUAACAGUAGAUGUUGCAUGACAUUUACUUAAAAGGUGCAAUUGCAUCACUACCAGAUGGACCUGCGUUGUAUUAGCUAGUUGGUGGGGUAACGGCUCACCAAGGCGACGAUACAUAGCCGACCUGAGAGGGGGAUCGGCCACACUGGGACUGAGACACGGCCCAGACUCCUACGGGAGGCAGCAGUAGGGAAUCUUCGGCAAUGGACGGAAGUCUGACCGAGCAACGCCGCGUGAGUGAAGAAGGUUUUCGGACCGUAAAGCUCUGUUGUAAGAGAAGAACGAGUGUGAGAGUGGAAAGUUCACACUGUGACGGUAUCUUACCAGAAAGGGACGGCUAACUACGUG